rnacentral:lncRNA from 1 species
GUGACCCCCAGCCUCAAUACCAUCCCUGCCAGACACCUCUUGCUGUGCAGGGAGCAGCGACAGGAAGAGCAGCCUGCCCAUCCUUAGUCCCUCCACCCGCCGGCCUCAGGCCUCGCUCCAGCUGUCCUCUGGUGUUCUCUGCCCAGCCUGA